CAGCUGAACACCCUAGUAGUGCUAGCCGGCAGCAGUGGCUCCUGAGACCUCCACACCAGAGUCCCGCACACAUUCAAGGCCACCACCUCCUUCAUGCUCCUCUGUGAUCACCUCUCCAAGUCCCGGUGUCAGGAGCCUUCUCUGUGGCCGCCCUGGAGAGACUUGAGCCUGGGACGUGACGUGCUGGGCUGUGAAGCUUUCUGAGAAGGGAAACCUGUGGCCUGACCUGCCUGAAUGCUGCACCCAACCUCAUCUCUUCCUGGGAGGCAGGCUCUCUUCGCUUGUUUUUACAAAUUUGAAACCAACAACUGUCAGCAUUGACACCAUCAGGCCUUUCUCUUCUAAUUUAACCUUGCAGCCAACCACACGGCUAUCUGUGCGGGAUCUCUCCCCAAGCUCAAGGACAUGAGAUGCGGAUCAGGCCCAAGAGGCUGGAUGCCAAACCUAUCCUCUCCAUGUGAAGCACCAACUUGGGGGUGUCAACUAAAAAUAUGAGACCCGUAAACUUGGAAAGGAAGACUUUAUUUCUUGAGAAGGGUUGCAAACUGCAGGCUGGGAAGUGGCACCUCCAGCUGAGACCACAAACAGUGGACUUUCUCAAACUGGGGUAUUGACCUCUGAUGAACCGCCAUGCAAACCCGUGCCUUUCAACAUAAAAAGAAGCCCUUCGAGGUGCUCACCUUCAAGCUUGCUAGAGGAGGAGGAAGAGCAGGUUGAGUUUGACAUAACUAGAAUGGGUUGAGCCUUUCCAGCAGAGUAAGGUUCUUUCAUGGUGGACAGUGGCCACCCACUGCCAUUUCUACAAGAAGAUUUUGCUUCUUA
rnacentral:lncRNA from 1 species